GGAUUGAACGCUGGCGGCAGGCCUAACACAUGCAAGUCGAGCGGUAGAGAGGUGCUUGCAUCUCUUGAGAGCGGCGGACGGGUGAGUAAUGCCUAGGAAUCUGCCUAGUGGUGGGGGAUAACGUUCGGAAACGGACGCUAAUACCGCAUACGUCCUACGGGAGAAAGCGGGGGACCUUCGGGCCUCGCGCCAUUAGAUGAGCCUAGGUCGGAUUAGCUAGUUGGUGAGGUAAUGGCUCACCAAGGCGACGAUCCGUAACUGGUCUGAGAGGAUGAUCAGUCACACUGGAACUGAGACACGGUCCAGACUCCUACGGAGGCAGCAGUGGGGAAUAUUGGACAA
rnacentral:rRNA from 1 species